GGGCGAGUUUGAUCAUGGCUCAGAACGAACGCUGGCGGCAGGCCUCAAACAUGCAAGUCUAGGGGGUAGCAAUACCACCGGCGGACGGGUGCGUAACACGUGGGAAUGUACCUUUUGGUUCGGAACAACCCAGGGAAACUUGGGCUAAUACCGAAUGUGCCCUAACGGGGAAAGAUUUAUCGCCAAAGGAUCAGCCCGCGUCCGAUUAGCUAGUUGGUGGGGUAAUGGCCUACCAAGGCAACGAUCGGUAGCUGUUCUGAGAGGAAGAUCAGCCACACUGGGACUGAGACACGGCCCAGACUCCUACGGGAGGCAGCAGUGGGGAAUAUUGGACAAUGGGGGCAACCCUGAUCCAGCAAUGCCGCGUGAGUGAUGAAGGCCUUCGGGUUGUAAAGCUCUUUCGCCCGCGACGAUGAUGACGGUAGCGGGAGAAGAAGCCCCGGCUAACUUCGUGCCAGCAGCCGCGGUAAUAA
rnacentral:rRNA from 1 species